AUUGAACGCUGGCGGCAGGCUUAACACAUGCAAGUCGAGCGGAGAUGAGGUGCUUGCACCUUAUCUUAGCGGCGGACGGGUGAGUAAUGCUUAGGAAUCUGCCUAUUAGUGGGGGACAACAUUCCGAAAGGAAUGCUAAUACCGCAUACGCCCUACGGGGAAAGCAGGGGAUCUUCGGACCUUGCGCUAAUAGAUGAGCCUAAGUCGGAUUAGCUAGUUGGUGGGGUAAAGGCCUUCCAAGGCGACGAUCUGUAGCGGGUCUGAGAGGAUGAUCCGCCACACUGGGACGGAGACACGGCCCAGACUCCUACGGGAGGCAGCAGUGGGGAGUAUUGGACAAUGGGGGGAACCCUGAUCCAGCCAUGCCGCGUGUGUGAAGAAGGCCUUAUGGUUGUAAAGCACUUUAAGCGAGGAGGAGGCUCUUUUGGUUAAUACCCAAGAUGAGUGGACGUUACUCGCAGAAUAAGCACCGGCUAACUCUGUGCCAGCCGCCGCAGUAA
rnacentral:rRNA from 1 species